CAGCCGCCGCGGUAAUACGAAGGGUGCAAGCGUUAAUCGGAAUUACUGGGCGUAAAGCGUGCGUAGGCGGUUUGUUAAGUCUGCUGUGAAAUCCCCGGGCUCAACCUGGGAAUGGCAGUGGAUACUGGCAAGCUAGAGUGUGUCAGAGGAUGGUGGAAUUCCCGGUGUAGCGGUGAAAUGCGUAGAGAUCGGGAGGAACAUCAGUGGCGAAGGCGGCCAUCUGGGACAACACUGACGCUGAGGCACGAAAGCGUGGGGAGCAAACAGGAUUAGAUACCCCCGUAGUCCCUGUCUCUUAUAA
rnacentral:rRNA from 1 species